AUGCAAGUCGAGGGGCAGCAUGAACUUAGCUUGCUAAGUUUGAUGGCGACCGGCGGAAGGGUGCGUAACGCGUGAGCGACAUGCCCGUUGCCCGGGGACAACCGGUGGAAACGCCGACUAAUCCCCGAUGGGACGGAGGCCCUCAUGGGUCUCUGUUGAAAGUUACGGCGGCGACGGAUUGGCUCGCGUCCGAUUAGCUAGUUGGCGGGGUAACGGCCCACCAAGGCUACGAUCGGUAGGGGUUCUGAGAGGAAGGUCCCCACAAUGGAACUGAGACACGGUCCAUACUCC
rnacentral:rRNA from 1 species